rnacentral:rRNA from 1 species
AAACUGAAGAGUUUGAUCAUGGCUCAGAUUGAACGCUGGCGGUAUGCUUAACACAUGCAAGUCGAACGGUAACAGGCCUUCGGGCGCUGACGAGUGGCGGACGGGUGAGUAACGCGUAGGAAUCUGCCUCAUAGUGG